AUUGAACGCUGGCGGCAGGCCUAACACAUGCAAGUCGAGCGGAUGAAGGGAGCUUGCUCCUGGAUUCAGCGGCGGACGGGUGAGUAAUGCCUAGGAAUCUGCCUGGUAGUGGGGGAUAACGUCCGGAAACGGGCGCUAAUACCGCAUACGUCCUGAGGGAGAAAGUGGGGGAUCUUCGGACCUCACGCUAUCAGAUGAGCCUAGGUCGGAUUAGCUAGUUGGUGGGGUAAAGGCCUACCAAGGCGACGAUCCGUAACUGGUCUGAGAGGAUGAUCAGUUACACUGGAACUGAGACACGGUCCAGCCUCCUACGGGAGGCAGCAGUGGGGAAUAUUGGACAAUGGGCGAAAGCCUGAUCCAGCCAUGCCGCGUGUGUGAAGAAGGUCUUCGGAUUGUAAAGCACUUUAAGUUGGGAGGAAGGGCAGUAAGUUAAUACCUUGCUGUUUUGACGUUACCAACAGAAUAAGCACCGGCUAACUUCGUG
rnacentral:rRNA from 1 species